rnacentral:tRNA from 1 species
GGGCGUAGCUUAAUGGUAAAGCCUCUGCCUUCCAAGCAGAAUACGCGGGUUCGAUUCCCGUCGCCC